UCAUGGCUCAGGAUGAACGCUGGCGGCGUGCCUAAUACAUGCAAGUCGAGCGAACGGACGAGAAGCUUGCUUCUCUGAUGUUAGCGGCGGACGGGUGAGUAACACGUGGAUAACCUACCUAUAAGACUGGGAUAACUUCGGGAAACCGGAGCUAAUACCGGAUAAUAUUUUGAACCGCAUGGUUCAAAAGUGAAAGACGGUCUUGCUGUCACUUAUAGAUGGAUCCGCGCUGCAUUAGCUAGUUGGUAAGGUAACGGCUUACCAAGGCAACGAUGCAUAGCCGACCUGAGAGGGUGAUCGGCCACACUGGAACUGAGACACGGUCCAGACUCCUACGGGAGGCASCAGUAGGGAAUCUUCCSCAAUGGGCGAAASCCUGACGGAGCAACGCCGCGUGAGUGAUGAAGGUCUUCGGAUCGUAAAACUCUGUUAUUAGGGAAGAACAUAUGUGUAAGUAACUGUGCACAUCUUGACGGUACCUAAUCAGAAAGCCACGGCUAACUACGUGCCAGCAGCCGCGGUAAUACGUAGGUGGCAAGCGUUAUCCGGAAUUAUUGGGCGUAAAGCGCGCGUAGGCGGUUUUUUAAGUCUGAUGUGAAAGCCCMCGGCUCAACCGUGGAGGGUCAUUGGAAACUGGAAAACUUGAGUGCAGAAGAGGAAAGUGGAAUUCCAUGUGUAGCGGUGAAAUGCGCAGAGAUAUGGAGGAACACCAGUGGCGAAGGCGACUUUCUGGUCUGUAACUGACGCUGAUGUGCGAAAGCGUGGGGAUCAAACAGGAUUAGAUACCCUGGUAGUCCACGCCGUAAACGAUGAGUGCUAAGUGUUAGGGGGUUUCCGCCCCUUAGUGCUGCAGCUAACGCAUUAAGCACUCCGCCCC
rnacentral:rRNA from 1 species